rnacentral:piRNA from 1 species
UCAAUCCUUAUUGGUGCAAUGGACCAGG